GGGGGCGGGGGCGAGCCGGCGCGUCAGUCAGUCCGCGGGGCGGGCAGCGCCGGCCGGGCACGCCGAGGGUCGCGAGCCCGCCGCCUGAUUGGAGGCGCCGCUUCCGCCGCCUGGAGCCGGGAGCUGGGAGCCGGCUCCUCCUCCGCACAGCCCCCCGAGUGGAAUGGACGGCGCGCGGUCCCGGCCCGCUCGCCCGCUCGCCCGCUGGUUCCCCCGCCUGCCCGCGAUCGCGCGCUCGUUCUGCAGCUUGCGGCCCAGGCAGGGGUUGAGCGAGGUUUCUCUCAUUCCUUCUCUGCUGUAGACUUCUGGAUUUCUGAAGGCACUGAAUGUUAUCACCAUCACACCUUAAGCAAGCCUGCACUGUCUUGAAAUCACCUUGCCUCCCUACAGGAGGUUUGACUUUUGUACAGAGCUGCAGUUGGCUGUGGUUUAGCUUGAUGGUGUUCAUAGCUGUCUUCUAGGGGAAAGAGUUCACUUUGGAAAGGACUGCUGACUUCACUGAAAGCUCCCCUUUUCAGCAACUAGAAGGAAGGUUUCCCAUCCCUGAAACUGCA
rnacentral:lncRNA from 1 species